rnacentral:rRNA from 1 species
GAUGAACGCUGGCGGCGUGCUUAACACAUGCAAGUCGAGCGAGUGAGUUCUUCGGAACGAUCUAGCGGCGGACGGGUGAGUAACACGUGGGCAACCUGCCUCAUAGAGGGGAAUAGCCUCCCGAAAGGGAGAUUAAUACCGCAUAAAAUUAUCGAGUGGCAUCACAUGAUAAUCAAAGGAGUAAUCCGCUAUGAGAUGGGCCCGCGGCGCAUUAGCUAGUUGGUGAGGUAACGGCUCACCAAGGCGACGAUGCGUAGCCGACCUGAGAGGGUGAUCGGCCACAUUGGGACUGAGCCACGGCCCAGACUCCUACGGGAGGCAGCAGUGGGGAAUAUUGCACAAUGGGGGAAACCCUGAUGCAGCAACGCCGCGUGAGUGAUGAAGGUCUUCGGAUUGUAAAGCUCUGUCUUUGGGGACGAUAAUGACGGUACCCAAGGAGGAACCCACGGCUAACUACGUGCCAGCCGCCGCCGUAA